rnacentral:rRNA from 1 species
AUUGAACGCUGGCGGCAUGCCUUACACAUGCAAGUCGAACGGCAGCACGGGUGCUUGCACCUGUUGGCGAGUGGCGAACGGGUGAGUAAUACAUCGGAACAUGUCCUGUAGUGGGGGAUAGCCCGGCGAAAGCCGGAUUAAUACCGCAUACGAUCUACGGAUGAAAGCGGGGGACCUUCGGGCCUCGCGCUGUAGGGUUGGCCGAUGGCUGAUUAGCUAGUUGGUGGGGUAAAGGCCUACCAAGGCGACGAUCAGUAGCUGGUCUGAGAGGGCGACCAGCCACACUGGGACUGGGACACGGCCCAGACUCCUACGGGAGGCAGCAGUGGGGAAUUUUGGACAAUGGGCGAAAGCAUGAUCCAGCAAUGCCGCGUGUGUGAAGAAGGCCUUCGGGUUGUAAAGCACUUUUGUCCGGAAAGAAAUCCUUGGCCCUAAUACGGUCGGGGGAUGACGGUACCGGAAGAAUAAGCACCGGCUAACUACGUG